rnacentral:rRNA from 1 species
UACAGAGGUCUCAAGCGUUGUUCGGAAUCAUUGGGCGUAAAGGGCGUGUAGGCGGUUUGUUAAGUCAUGUGUGAAAUCCCUCGGCUCAACCGGGGAACGACGCAUGAAACUGGCAAGCUAGAGUACCAAAGAGGGGGGUGGAAUUCCCGGUGUAGCGGUGAAAUGCGCAGAUAUCAGGAAGAACACCCGUGGCUAAGGCGGCUCUCUAGUACGGUACUGACGCUGAGACGCGAAAGCGUGGGGAGCGAACAGG